CACCAAAGACUACGCUGAUCGCGACUGGGUUUAUUUUGUUGUUUUAUGUAGAGGUUUUAACUCUCUUCUCACGUUGGCGCUGUCAUCGCGCAUUCCACUAAACUGCUCAGUUUGUUUCAGGUGGUCGCGAUCGUCGGACGCGGAGUGGCAAAAGUGUGAAGACCGCGAGCGCGCGCGAGUUUUAGUGAGAGUUGACAUCAGCACAAAAGGCAAAAACGCAACUUGGUGGUGGUGUUGUGUCGACAAGGUUGGAAUUUAGUGUCCUGCGACCCUAUGACAAUCAACAUGUGAAAAUCCAAGUGGGGCACGUGACACCCGAUCUAAUCGUGUUCAUACCAAAAAGUUGAUAAGUGAUGAAUGUGUGUGGGAUGAUUUGGAGCCAGAAGAAAAGUAAAUUGUGAGUGCAGAGUGCCAGAAAAGAGAAAUUUAAUUUGAUAGUUUAAGAAAGCAGGAGGGAGUGUAAACUGAAUUAAAUAGCGCUCCAAGCGGUGCUGGAGAGGAUGAUGGGGAACCCAAACUACGGUUACAUGAGCCCGCCGUGGCAAUUGAACGCGCUGAAAGCUACUUCAUUGCUAAUUGGGAUGCUCUUCCUCUUGGGAUCUAUCAACAAGGUGAGUGGAAACUAACUGAUAAUUCAACUUGAGUGGGUUAUACAUAUGUAUCGAAUGCAACCGAGGUACAUUGUAAGCAGGUACAUGAUUUCUGAUCGGUUUACUUGAUGAGGCGUUUCAUAUGCAGAAACAUAUGUUUACGGUCAAUUAUUUGGAUUAAUUUAAUUAUUUUAGGUGCUGAGUUCUUCUAUGUGGGGUUCUUGAAUGCGGUGUUGUAAGGGAACUGCGCAUAUUAAAGCACUGCAGUCUUUAUCGUGAAAUAGUUGGAGUAAAACGUUAAAAAAAAAUAUUUUAUAUCAACAAAAUAUAAUUUUUAUCUAAACAAUAAUUAUUUAAGUGUGUUUCAAAGUUUGUAUUAAAAGUUUGAAAACAACAAAAUAAAGGUAUCGUAUGAAAUUUGAUAGUUUGUAUUUAAAAACAUAGAAAUAAUACGUUGUUAUAUAACUUUUAACGACUUGUUCAUUUUACCUCAUCGAUUGCCCAUUUUACCCCCACCGAUUUUUUUCACGCUAUUUCUAUGCACGUUUUGGUGAAGAAAAUAAUCAAUGAAAACAAUAUUUUUUAAAUGCAAUCCAUUUACAAGAUUUCUAGAAUAUAUCAUUAUCUUCCAUGUUACUCGUAGAAGCCGAUGGAUUUUGCCGUAUUUCCACUGGAAACGACCAAAAUGCUUAGGUUGUCCACUUUACCCCCACCACCCCUACCUUAUUUUGCUUGGUGCAACUUGGGCCGGAACACCCUUUAGUGGUCAUGUGAAAUUUUUCUUGCUACUAAAACUUUCAUAGCAAAGCUUUGACCUACUUUCAAAUAGGGAACCUCUAUGGUGAUAAUUGGUACC